GCUGCACGGCGCGCCGGCCGUGCUCCGCCGUCAGGCGGACCUAGGCUUGGGGGCCCGAAACCGGCGCCGGGCGGCGCCUCCGGCGGCGUACCGCCUGGGCUUACCGAUGAGCUCCGGUCCAGGGGGGCGUCGGUCCCCGGGCUACUCCGGCCGUAGGGCCGGGGGGACCUGGGCAUGCGGGGAAACGGCGGAGGUCCGGGAGGGAGCACGCCUAACCCGCAGCCGGCGCGUUCCCUGGGGCUCCGGGGGGAGAGACGCUUGGGCGGGCGCCGUCCGGCGGCGCCGUCGGCGCCGGG
rnacentral:SRP_RNA from 1 species